UGACGCAAGUCCGAGUUGUAAUUUGAAGAAGGUAAUUUUUGGGGAGAUGUGAACAAAAGUUCCUUGGAACAGGACGUCAUAGAGGGUGAGAAUCCCGUUUUGUUUACCUCUCUCUCCUUGUAAAAUGCUUUCGAAGAGUCGAGUUGUUUGGGAAUGCAGCUCUAAGUGGGUGGUAAAUUCCAUCUAAAGCUAAAUAUUGGCGAGAGACCGAUAGCGAACAAGUACAGUGAUGGAAAGAUGAAAAGAACUUUGAAAAGAGAGUGAAAAAGUACGUGAAAUUGUUGAAAGGGAAGGGUUUUAAGGGAGACUUGGGAGGUAACGAACAAUUUUCUUUCGGGAAGGUGCACUCGUUGCUUUCUAGGCCAAUAUGGAUUUGAAGAGUGGGAUAAAAGGA
rnacentral:rRNA from 1 species